rnacentral:rRNA from 1 species
UGCCAGCAGCCGCGGUAAUACGGAGGGAGCGAGCGUUAAUCGGAAUUACUGGGCGUAAAGCGCGCGUAGGCGGCUUUGUCAGUCGGAUGUGAAAGCCCUGGGCUUAACCUGGGAAUGGCAUUCGAUACUGCAUAGCUAGAGUAUGGUAGAGGGAAGUGGAAUUUCCGGUGUAGCGGUGAAAUGCGUAGAUAUCGGAAGGAACACCAGUGGCGAAGGCGACUUCCUGGGCUGUUUCUGACGCUGAGGUGCGAAGGCGUGGGUAGCGAACAGGAUUAGAUA